GCCCAAGUAGCUCAGUUGGUAGAGCAGCGGACUGAAAAUCCGCGUGUCGGCGGUUCAACUCCGUCCUUGGGCA
rnacentral:tRNA from 1 species